CUGUCACGCCGGUACGAACGGAUUACUUUGAUGAGGUAAAAAAUGGGACACAUUCCCUGACAGC
rnacentral:tRNA from 1 species